UACAGAGGGUGCGAGCGUUAAUCGGAAUUACUGGGCGUAAAGCGUGCGUAGACGGUCAUGUAAGUCGGGUGUGAAAGCCCCGGGCUCAACCUGGGAAUUGCAUUCGAGACUGCAUGGCUAGGAUGCGGAAGAGGGAAGCGGAAUUUCCGGUGUAGCGGUGAAAUGCGUAGAUAUCGGAAGGAACACCAGUGGCGAAAGCGGCUUCCUGGUCCAGCA
rnacentral:rRNA from 1 species